rnacentral:rRNA from 1 species
GCCCUACGGGACGCAGCAGUGAGGAAUAUUGGUCAAUGGGCGCGAGCCUGAACCAGCCAAGUCGCGUGAGGGAAGACGGUCCUACGGAUUGUAAACCUCUUUUGUCGGGGAGCAAAAGACGCCACGUGUGGCGUUCCGAGAGUACCCGAAGAAAAAGCAUCGGCUAACUCCGUGCCAGCAGCCGCGGUAAUACGGAGGAUGCGCGCGUUAUCCGGAUUUAUUGGGUUUAAAGGGUGCGCAGGCGGAAGAUCAAGUCAGCGGUAAAAUUGAGAGGCUCAACCUCUUCUAGCCGUUGAAACUGGUUU